AUUGAACGCUGGCGGCAUGCCUUACACAUGCAAGUCGAACGGUAACAGGUCUUUCGGGAUGCUGACGAGUGGCGAACGGGUGAGUAAUACAUCGGAACGUGCCUAGUAGUGGGGGAUAACUACUCGAAAGAGUGGCUAAUACCGCAUGAGAUCUAUGGAUGAAAGCAGGGGACCUUUGGGCCUUGUGCUACUAGAGCGGCCGAUGGCAGAUUAGGUAGUUGGUGGGAUAAAAGCUUACCAAGCCUACGAUCUGUAGCUGGUCUGAGAGGACGAUCAGCCACACUGGGACUGAGACACGGCCCAGACUCCUACGGGAGGCAGCAGUGGGGAAUUUUGGACAAAGGGCGAAAGCCUGAUCCAGCAAUGCCGCGUGCAGGAUGAAGGCCUUCGGGUUGUAAACUGCUUUUGGACGGAACGAAAAGUCUUGGGUUAAUACCCUGGGAUCAUGACGGUACCGUAAGAAUAAGCACCGGCUAACUACGUG
rnacentral:rRNA from 1 species